rnacentral:rRNA from 1 species
AUUGAACGCUGGCGGAAUGCUUUACACAUGCAAGUCGAACGGCAGCACGGGUGCUUGCACCUGGUGGCGAGUGGCGAACGGGUGAGUAACAUAUCGGAACGUACCCAGUAAUGGGGGAUAACUAACCGAAAGGUUAGCUAAUACCGCAUACGCCCUGAGGGGGAAAGCGGGGGAUCGAAAGACCUCGCGUUAUUGGAGCGGCCGAUAUCUGAUUAGCUAGUUGGUGAGGUAAAGGCUCACCAAGGCGACGAUCAGUAGCAGGUCUGAGAGGAUGAUCUGCCACACUGGAACUGGGACACGGUCCAGACUCCUACGGGAGGCAGCAGUGGGGAAUUUUGGACAAUGGGGGAAACCCUGAUCCAGCCAUUCCGCGUGAGUGAAGAAGGCCUUCGGGUUGUAAAGCUCUUUCGGCAGGGAAGAAACGGUUCUGGAUAAUACCCGGAGCUAAUGACGGUACCUGAAGAAGAAGCACCGGCUAACUACGUGCCAGCAGCCGCGGUAA